GGGGAUGUGGCGGAACGGGCAGACGCGUAAGACUUAGGAUCUUAUGCCGCGAGGCGUGUGAGUUCGAAUCUCACCAUCCCUA
rnacentral:tRNA from 2 species